UGGGGGAUAUUGCACAAUGGGCGAAAGCCUGAUGCAGCGACGCCGCGUGGGGGAUGAAGGCUUUCGGGUUGUAAACCUCUUUCGCUAUCGAACAAGGCCCGCUUAGGGUGGGUUGAGGGUAGGUGGAGAAGAAGCGCCGGCUAACUACGUGCCAGCAGCCGCGGUAAUACGUAGGGCGCGAGCGUUGUCCGGAAUUAUUGGGCGUAAAGGGCUUGUAGGCGGCUUGUUGCGCCUGCUGUGAAAACGCGGGGCUUAACUUCGCGCGUGCAGUGGGUACGGGCAGGCUUGAGUGUGGUAGGGGAGACUGGAAUUCCAGGUGUAGCGGUGGAAUGCGCAGAUAUCUGGAGGAACACCGAUGGCGAAGGCAGGUCACUGGGCCAUUACUGACGCUGAGGAGCGAAAGCAUGGGUAGCGAACAGG
rnacentral:rRNA from 1 species